rnacentral:rRNA from 1 species
UACGGGAGGCAGCAGUGGGGAAUAUUGCACAAUGGGCGCAAGCCUGAUGCAGCCAUGCCGCGUGUAUGAAAAAGGCCUUCGGGUUGUAAAGUACUUUCAGUCGUGAGGAAGGUGUUAAGGUUAAUAACCUUAGCAAUUGACGUUAGCGACAGAAGAAGCACCGGCUAACUCCGUGCCAGCAGCCGCGGUAAUACGGAGGGUGCGAGCGUUAAUCGGAAUUACUGGGCGUAAAGGGCACGCAGGCGGUUAAUUAAGUUGGAUGUGAAAUCCCUGGGCUUAACCUGGGAAUGGCAUUCAAGACUGGUUAGCUAGAGUCUUGUAGAGGGGGUAGAAUUCCGAUGUGUAGCGGUGAAAUGCGUAGAGAUGUGGAGGAAUACCGGGUGGCGAAGGCGGCCCCUGGGACAAAGGACUGACGCUCAUGUGCGAAAGCGUGGGGAGCGAAACAGGGAUUAGAUACC